AGCAGCCGCGGUAAUUCCAGCUCCAAUAGCGUAUAUUAAAGUUGUUGCAGUUAAAAAGCUCGUAGUUGAAUUUCGGGAUCAAUUAAUUGGUCGUGCCUAUGGUACGUACUGAUUUUAUUGGUUUCUCCCUUCUGACGAACCAUGAUGUCAUUAAUUUGGUGUCGUGGAGAAUCAGGACUGUUACUUUAGAAAAAUUAGAGUGUUUAAAGCAGGCUAACGCUUGAAUACAUUAGCAUGGAAUAAUGAAAUAGGACGUUUGAUCCUAUUUUGUUGGUUUCUAGGAUCGACGUAAUGAUUAAUAGGGAUAGUUGGGGGCAUUAGUAUUCAAUUGUCAGAGGUGAAAUUCUUGGAUUUAUUGAAGACUAACUACUGCGAAAGCAAUUUGCCAAGGAUGUUUUCAUUAAUCAAGAACGAAAGUUAGGGGAUCGAAGACGAUCAGAUACCGUCGUA
rnacentral:rRNA from 1 species